CAUAUACUCCCUCCGUUCGGAAUUACUUGUCUCAAAAAUGGAUGUAUCUAGAACUAAAAUACAUCUAGAUACAUCCAUUUCUGCGACAAGUAAUUCCGAACGGAGAGAGUACUAG
rnacentral:pre_miRNA from 1 species